AGAGUGCGUAAUAGCUCACUAGUCGAGAGGUCCUGCGCCGAAAAUGUCCGGGGCUGAAACAUGCUGCCGAAGCUGCGGAACCGCAAGGUUGGUAGAGGAGCAUUGAAUGCGGGAAGAAGCUGUACCGAAAGGAGCAGUGGACUGCAUUGAAGAGAGAAUGCCGGAAUGAGUAGCGAGAAAUAGGUGAGAAUCCUAUUGGCCGAAUAUCCAAGGAUUCCAGGGUAAAGCUGAUCUGCCCUGGGUAAGUCGGGGCCUAAGGCGAGGUCGGAAGACGUAGCCGAUGGACAACAGGUAGAGAUUCCUGUACUGCAUAUGGUCAGAACUGUGGGGACACGGGGUGUUAACGGAAGCCGGGAAAGGAAAGACCGGUCCAAGCACAGGAGGCGUUGCGCAGGCAAAUCCGCGCAAUGAGCCAAAGGUGUGACGGGGAGCGAAAUUAUAGUAGCGAAGUCCGGAUACAUGCUGUCAAGAAAAGCCGCUAUUGCGCCAUAUGUACCCGUACCGUAAACCGACACAGGUGGAUGAGGAGAGGAUCCUAAGGCCGGCGGGAGAAGUGUUGUUAAGGAACUCGGCAAAAUGACUCCGUAACUUCGGGAGAAGGAGUGCUGCGCAAGCAGCCGCAGAGAAAUGGCCCAAGCAACUGUUUAGCAAAAACACAGGUCUAUGCGAAACCGAAAGGUGAGGUAUAUGGGCUGACGCCUGCCCGGUGCUGGAAGGUUAAGGGGAGAGGUUAGCGCAAGCGAAGCUUUGAACUUAAGCCCCAGUAAACGGCGGCCGUAACUAUAACGGUCCUAAGGUAGCGAAAUUCCUUGUCGGGUAAGUUCCGACCCGCACGAAAGGCGUAAUGAUUUGGGCACUGUCUCAACAAUGCACCCGGUGAAAUUGAAAUACCAGUGAAGAUGCUGGUUACCUGCGCCAGGACGGAAAGACCCCAUGGAGCUUUACUCCAGCUUGAUACUGGGAUUCGGUAUUGCAUGUACAGGAUAGGUGGGAGGCUAGGAAAUGGUAACGCCAGUUGCCAUGGAGCCAAUGUUGGGAUACCACCCUUGCAGUACUGGGUUUCUAACCAGCAGCCGUGAUCCGGCUGGGGGACAAUGUCAGGUGGGGAGUUUGACUGGGGCGGUCGCCUCCGAAAGGGUAUCGGAGGCGCUCAAAGGUUCCCUCAGAAUGGUUGGAAACCAUUCGAAGAGUGCAAAGGCAGAAGGGAGCUUGACUGCGACACCGACGGGUGGAGCAGGUACGAAAGUAGGACUUAGUGAUCCGGUGGUAUAAAGUGGGAUUGCCAUCGCUCAACGGAUAAAAGCUACCCUGGGGAUAACAGGCUUAUCACUCCCA
rnacentral:rRNA from 1 species